UAAUACAAAGCUUAAAGCUACACUGUGUGAUUUUUACCCCCAUCUAGCGGUGAAAGGGUAUAUGACCAUCCAGUGAAUAUUAGUUUCUGUUCCUCUCAAUUACGAUUUCGUUUUAACUACUACGGUGGCCAAUGUAGUCCAAGAUUAACAUGGCUUCCAGUUCGACCUCGUCCAUGAGUGUUCCUUCAAAUGAUGAGGCGAAGCUUGAAUUAACGGGUAUGUCCCUCUUUGGCUAAUGUACUUUCGAGAUGGAGGGGCAACAUGGCGACCGACAUUAGAACCCCUUACCCGUAUGUAUUUUCAAUGGCAUAUUAUACACUCACGAGAAUACUUUAUUACUUGAACGAAGUAAAUAUACAUUAAUGAGCACAUAUAUUUUUGAAAGAACUAAGUGUUUUUAGCUAAGAGUAAACUAAAAAAGUUACACAGUGUAGCUUUAAUGCUAAAU